rnacentral:lncRNA from 1 species
AUGCGGCGCCCGGUGGCUCCCUCGAUCCACACACGCAGCUGACGUUCCGUCUGUGGGUCGUAUUUCUGUGCCAGCUUGUUCUUCACCUCGGCCGACAGCCCGUAGGCCGGCCCGCGGUUGAAGUUCGCGUUCGACAUCGGUUAAGUUCGGGGCUGGCCGGCGGCGGUUCCGUUCGGGUUAGGGUCCUGCUUGGCCCCGGCUCGGCUAUGGCUGGGUUCGGCUCGGCUCGGCUCGGUUCGUCCGGUCCCGGCCCGGCUCCGCCGCCGCCACUUUUAAAAGUCGGCGGAGGGCGCGGAGCCCCCCCCGGCGCCGGGCGGCGGCAGCCAAUGGGAUUCCCCGGCCGUGCUGACGGCACCGCGGGGCGGGCGAUGGCGUCAUUUUUUCCACAUUUAGCGGGGGGAUCCCGGAGUGGGG